AAAAUGGCUGCAGAAUGCAGAGCAAUAUUUUGCUUAUUUGAUUCUGUUUCUGUUACCCAGUUUCUUUUAAGGAUUUAGCUGGCUGAAAGAUUGAGAUGCAAUCAGCAAAACAGUCGUGAUGACAGAACAAAUGAAACCCACAGGUCCCAGUAACAAGCUUAGAGAUCUUGUGCCAGAGGAGCCAGUUCUGGCAGGUAUCAGGGGAGAGCAAAGCAGCAUUUCUGGAGAAGGGAAAAUGGGAGAGACCCAGCCUGUGUUUCCUGGGGUCCUGAAGCCUUCCUAUGAGAGGCAGAGGUACCUCAGUCCUGGAGGAUGUGGCUCCUGUGGGUAGACACAGCUCCCACCUGCCCAUAUGUAGACAUGGGUUCUGAACUACCAGGAGCUUAAGGACUUGGAAGUCUGUAAGAACUGAAUAUUUAAAACAUUGGGGAUUUUAUGUAGAAAUUCAGAGAUUUCCUAAAAAUGCUGCUAAAGCCUAAUGCAAGGGCUGGACAUUUUUCAAUAUAUAUGCUUGCUCUUUCCACCUUUAGAAGGAUCUAUCACUUCUCCUACAAAUUCCAGACUACAAAUACUAUGCUAAAAUAGGAUGAAGGUGCUGCAGGUGACUGGCCUCUUUUCAGUUUGCUUGAGAGAUCCUUUUUAGAACAAAUGAUGUUCAGAAGGGGCCUCAUCCCAUGGCAAAAGGAAACACAAUUAAGGGAAAAGAACUGCAUUUUGGUCCUUGUGACCCUGUAGUGUUGGCAAAUGCCCACAGCAGAAGUGUGGCUUCAGCUUUCCUUGAUGGCCCCAGCAGGGCUGACAAGGCCUAUUCCUCUCUGUCAGAAACUUCAUAGCCUGCUUUGAAAGUCCAAAAACUUUCUCUGCUGCCACUAAAGCCACAUUUUAAGCUGUGAGAGGCUUGGAUCUCUCCAGAAAACACAAAUAGGUGUAUGUCCUACCAUGGUGCAUGCUGUCUGGGACUUGUACCAGGCACACUGCUGCUACCCAGUAUGUGUCUGGUUUCAGGUCAUUAAAAGACAUCAACCAAUCUGUUACUUAGAUUCCAAUGGGUAUGAAUCAGAACACAGCCUCACCUGCUUCACAUGCUGCUGUUCCCUCUGCAGUAGCUCUCUGUGAGAUGGUACAUGUCAGGAGUCUGCCAAAUUUCAGUGGUGUUAAACUUCAUGAGCUCAUCAGAUGACUCUGUUUCAAGGACAUAAGAGACAGGUUGGUUUUCUUUCCCCGCCUCGUUACCUUACUCCUAGCCAUUCUGUGCAUCUUACAGGGUCUUUUGUAGCUUAAUGCAAUAAAUGCUUUGCUAGCAUGUUUCGUGGUAACACACAUGCACAGGUUUUGUGCUUCCUACCACCCGCCACUGUUCAUUUACACCAGGAAACAACUUUGCUUCACAAAUAUAUAAGAGAAAGUCAUUGCUCAACGUCACUGUCUCCUGAGUAGUUAUAUUAAGAAACGUCUAAUAGUGACCUGGAAAACAGGGAAUUUGUUUUAAGUAAGUAUUAUUAUCCUUCUGAUGCAAGUGGCUAAUGGAAGA